CAAGGAUUCCCCUAGUAACGGCGAGUGAAGUGGGAAAAGCUCAACUUUGAAAUCUGGCUGCUUUGCAGUCCGAGUUGUAGUCUCGAGAAGUGUUUUCCGCGUUAAACCGUGUAUGAGUCUGUUGGAAUACAGCGUCAUAGAGGGUGAGAACCCCGUUCAUGACACGGCUUUUAAUGCUUUGUGAUACAUUUUCGAUGAGUCGAGUUGUUUGGGAAUGCAGCUCAAAUUGGGUGGUAAAUUCCAUCUAAAGCUAAAUAUUGGCGGGAGACCGAUAGCAAACAAGUACCGUGAGGGAAAGAUGAAAAGCACUUUGGAAAGAGAGUUAAAAGUACGUGAAAUUGUCGAAAGGGAAACGCUUGAAGUCAGACGUGCACGGGAUUCAUUCCCAUUGCAGGCCAACAUCGGUUUUGCGAGCCGGAUAAAGGUAGAAGGAAGGUGGCAGUCUCGGCUGUGUUAUAGCCUUCUACUGAAUACGGAUUGCGAGACCGAGGGACGCAGCGCGCCGCAAGGCAGAGGGUUCGCCCUUUUCGCGCUUAGGAUGUUGGUGAAAUGGCUUUA
rnacentral:rRNA from 1 species